GAUGAAGAACGUAGCGAAAUGCGAUAAGUAAUGUGAAUUGCAGAAUUCAGUGAAUCAUCGAAUCUUUGAAUGCACAUUGCGCCCGCCAGUAUUCUGGCGGGCAUGCCUGUUCGAGCGUCAUUUCAACCAUCAAGCCCCAGGCUUGUGUUGGGGACCUGCGGCUGCCGCAGGCCCUGAAAACCAGUGGCGGGCUCGCUGUCACACCGGGCGUAGUAGAUUUUAUCUCGCUCAGGGCGUGCUGCGGGUCCCGGCCGUUAAAAGCCUUUUUUUACCCAAGGUUGACCUCGGAUCAGGUAGGAAGACCCGCUGAACUUAAGCAUAUCAAUAAGCGGAGGA
rnacentral:misc_RNA from 1 species